rnacentral:tRNA from 1 species
GGAGGGAUGCGAGAGUGGUCUAUUCGGCUCGCUUGGAAAGCGACGCGUCAGGAAACUGGCACGGGGGUUCGAAUCCCCCUCCCUCCGCCA